UAUGGAUAAUCCAGCCCCAGCCCCAGCCCCAGCCCCAUUUUACAGAUGAGGAAACUGGGACUUACUGAAGUCAUGUAUUUAAUGAAGGGUUAAACUAGGAUUUGAACUGAAUCUCUUGAUCUUAAGGCUGAUGGUCUCAUUUGUUCCAUCAUGCAGCUGCCUCAGGCCUGUGCUGUAUCCCUUUAUGCCACACAAGAGAGAUAGCUCCCUCCACUUCAGUCUAUAAUACAAACGAAGAUCAGCCAUUUGUUGCAUCCGAGGUAAACUGGCCUGGAUUUGUGGUCUGAGUUCACCAUAUUUCCACAGUAUGACAUUGAAGAAGAAAGGAAUUUUACUUGUCACUUGAUAGUUAUUGUCUCAUGACACUAAGCUAUGACUUGGAGACAAAGGCCAAGUCAAGCCCCACUGUGAGAUUCAAUGAUUCCUUGGUGGAGAAAGAAGCAUUUGAUGUGGAGCCUGACACACCUGAAAGUGAGCUCCAUAGGGCAAGGAUUUUUGUCUACUUUGCUCACCACUGUAUCCCAAGGGCCUAUCUCAUAAAGGGAGGGGAAGAAAUAUCUAGCACAGCUGCUUCCGAAUUCCCUGGCUGGUCUGAGAACUGUGUGAAGCUGUGAUGGAACCCCCUGGAGAUGUUCUGCAGCUCCAGGCCUCACUUCACAGACUCACUGCAGGAAUGGAUGAACUAAUAAAUGAUUAAGAAGUAAGUACACCAGCAAGUUUCUUGUGCCUGGACUAAAGAUGGAGUAUAGGAUGAGUAGUAGAAGAUGUAACAACUGGGACUGGAUUACAGAUGGUCUUUGUAUUAGUCUAUUCUCACACUGCUAUAAAGAAAUACCUGAGACUGGGUCAUUUAUAAAGAAAAGAGA
rnacentral:lncRNA from 1 species